rnacentral:rRNA from 1 species
GACGUAGGGUGCGAGCGUUGUCCGGAUUUAUUGGGCGUAAAGGGCUCGUAGGCGGUCUGUUGCGUCGGGAGUGAAAACUCAGGGCUUAACCCUGAGCCUGCUUCCGAUACGGGCAGACUAGAGGUAUGCAGGGGAGAACGGAAUUCCUGGUGUAGCGGUGAAAUGCGCAGAUAUCAGGAGGAACACCGGUGGCGAAGGCGGUUCUCUGGGCAUUACCUGACGCUGAGGAGCGAAAGUGUGGGGAGCAAACAGG